UACUCUUGAACAAAUGAAUAAGUUAGAACAGAUUCAAUUACAAGCAGCGAGAAUAGUUACUGGUUUACCAAAAUAUACAUCACGUGAAUUUCUUUAUUUUGAAACUGAAUGGGAAACAUUACAAGAUCGUCGUAGAAAACGAAAACUAUGUUUGAUGUAUAAAAUUAAAAAUGAAAUGGCUCCUCCAUACCUAAAAGAACUGCUUCCCUUGAAUGUUAGUUCUAAAUCAAAGUAUAAUCUACGCAGUUCUCUCAAUAUAUCGAUUCCUAUUCCAAGACUUAAACACUCAAAAGAAUCCUUCUUUCCAUCUACAAUAUGCUCUUGGAACAAUUUACCAGCCACCGUUCGAAAUUCAAAAAGUGUUUCUACUUUUAAAUCAUGUAUAACUGAUAACCAUGCAUAUGCACCUCAGUAUUAUUCGUGUGGUAAAAGAAAAUUAAAUAUUAUUCAUACCAAGUUGCUUUAUUCUGCUAGUUGUUUGAACUUUGAUUUGUACAGAGUUGGAAU